AAUUGGUAGCAUAUUUGAUAUCUCUUGAUUUUCCUUUCUUUUUCGUUUUUCCUUGUUUUUGUUGCUUGUCAUUAAAAUUGAUAACCGCUUGGUGAGGCAAUGAUCCACUCCGAUUGGCAGGAACAUCAAGGAAAACAUGUACGUAAUUAUUCAUAAUA
rnacentral:ribozyme from 15 species